rnacentral:rRNA from 1 species
AACGAACGCUGGCGGCAUGCCUAACACAUGCAAGUCGAACGAACCCUUCGGGGUUAGUGGCGCACGGGUGCGUAACGCGUGGGAAUCUGCCCUUGGGUUCGGAAUAACUCAGAGAAAUUUGAGCUAAUACCGGAUGAUGACGAAAGUCCAAAGAUUUAUCGCCCAGGGAUGAGCCCGCGUAAGAUUAGCUUGUUGGUGGGGUAAUGGCCUACCAAGGCGACGAUCUUUAGCUGGUCUGAGAGGAUGAUCAGCCACACUGGGACUGAGACACGGCCCAGACUCCUACGGGAGGCAGCAGUGGGGAAUAUUGGACAAUGGGCGCAAGCCUGAUCCAGCAAUGCCGCGUGAGUGAUGAAGGCCUUAGGGUUGUAAAGCUCUUUUACCAGGGAUGAUAAUGACAGUACCUGGAGAAUAAGCUCCGGCUAACUCCGUG